rnacentral:rRNA from 1 species
GGGAGUUAUGAAAUGCAGGAGGGUUAAUACCCUUUCUGUUUGACUAAGGCUCCAGAGGAAGCCACGGCUAACUCUGUGCCAGCAGCCGCGGUAAUACAAAGGUGGCAAGCGUUGUUCGGAAUUAUUGGGCAUAAAGAGCACGUAGGCGGCCGUGCCAGUCGGAUGUGAAAGCCUUCCGCUCAACCGAAGAACUGCUUCUGAUACUACAGGGCUAGAGUACAGGAGGGGAGAGUG